UACGGAGGGUGCGAGCGUUGUCCGGAAUCAUUGGGCGUAAAGAGCGCGUAGGUGGCCCCUCAAGCGUGCGGUGAAAGUCAGGGGCUCAACCCCUGAUCGGCCGUGCGAACUGGGGAGCUUGAGCACUGUAGAGGCAGGCGGAAUUCCGGGUGUAGCGGUGGAAUGCGUAGAGAUCCGGAAGAACACCGGUGGCGAAGGCGGCCUGCUGGGCAGUUUUGCUGACACUGAGGCGCGACAGCGUGGGGAGCAAACAGG
rnacentral:rRNA from 1 species